CUGCAAUGUGUCACAAACACAAAUGCCAGCUGUUGUGUUGACAGCUUGUGGCAAUCAAUAUUCUUCAAAUGUAUACCAGAUACGGCGGCGUAUAAUAGCCUCAAGAGAAAAUACUCAUAAGGAAGGUCCUCAUUCGAACGAGUUGGCCUGAAACCCGCUGCUUCGGAAAAACUAUGCUGCUCUUCUCCAGAUGACAAGGAAACCUGGUGAUUAGUCGGUGCAUGAGUUUGCCAAGAGAACUGGUGACAUCAUCCAGAUCAAUGUCCCUGCACAGAAAGAAAAUGUUCAAGAAGAAAUGGAAGAUGAUGUCCAAGAGUAGAGCACUAGCAUUGUUCGGGUAGCUAUUGACUUCAUGGUGUUCUGUGAAGUGAUAAAGGCAGGAGAUAUAAACAUGAUAAGUAUCUUAAUGAAGCGAUUCAUUCCACUCUUCAUUGGAUUAUCCUCCUACAAAUCCAAAUAUGCAAUAGAGUGUGUAGAUUUCAUCACUAAAACAGAUUGUCUUUUGUAGGAAUAUGAUAGCGUGCGAGUUAAACUCGGCCUGCUUGUUAAUCGUAAAGGCAAACCAGGAAAAAAUAAACCAGCCGAUAUGCAACAAGAAAACAACAUAAAGCUAGUUAAGCAUGUGAUUAGAGGACUUGGUGCUGGAAAAACAGACAAAGCAAUGAUGAAAGUUUCAAAGGCUGCACCAGUUGUCAGUGAGCUUGUGGCUGGUUUUGAAAGCAGCGGGGCUAAAAGAAAGAAAAGGAAAUCAAAAUCAUCGAAAGAAGACCUGUUUGUCCUAAGCACCAAACUUAGAGAACUAAGACCCUUCAAAGGGAACAGGAGUAGACAGAUGGAAUCCUUUAAUAAACUCUCAGCAAACAUCAUUGGAGAAGUGGAAAAGAAAAAGCUUCAGGAAUUUGUAAUAAGACACAGUAUUAGAGCUAUGAACAAACUUGAUUUGAAUCAAGAUCACGUUGAUUAAUAUGGUGACUUAUUAGCUCGGCCGUUUUCGGAGAAAGCCCAAUGUAUUGUCAUAGCCAGCUCGCCGUGUCCGCCGUCCUUGUAAAGGUUUUAAACAUUGGCUCUAAAAUCAAAGUCCUUCCACCUACAACUUUGAAAUUGUAUAUGUAGAUGCACCUUGAUUAAUUCUACACGACACAUCCAUGUUUGGGUCACUAGAUCAAAGGUCAAGGUCAUGUGACCUUAAAAAAAUCCGGCAAGCUUUCGCAGACGAGCGUGGCACCCUUAUGCGGUGCUCUUGUUAAUAGAUUUAAGGUGUAUUAGUGAGAUUUUUCCUCCAAUAUUUUGUAGGAGGAAGGGAUUUUCAGACGAAUUACUUUAUCAAAUAAAUGAUUGGCUAGUAAUAGUACAUGUAUGAUGUUUGUCAAAUGAUGCUGCUUAUCUCCUCUAAAUCACAGUCUAAACCGUCUCCAUAGCAACAAUAUUAUUAACGUUAACAUUCUGUGAAGUCCUUGUGCUUGGCUGUUUCAUGAUACUUAAAUGUUCGUUAUUUAAUCACUUCAAAUGAUUAAUAUGUCAUAUCAAGAUAAAUGUUAUGACACCACUUUAAUGAUUGAUUCAUUUCAUAAAUGCUUAUGUUUCUUGUAGUAUAAUAUUGUUGUGUUAUCAUUUUUGGCAAACAUUCUGCAAGGUACGUACUUUUCAUAAAUGUUCACUUUUACAAGUAUCUACAUUCAUGCAUAAUCUUUUUACAAUUAAUGUUAUCGUUUGUUGUCCAUGUGUAUUAUAGCGCAUUAAAAAAAACAACAUUUGUGGACAUAAUAAAGUAUUCUACAGAGAGCCUAGAGCGAAGAAAAUGCUGAUAUCUUUAUUUGCAAAUACAGUUCUUUAGGUCUGUCAUUCCAUGAAGUCUUUCUGUGUUAACAGUUUUACAAAUAUUAAAUACUGUAAAUCCGGGAGAUAUGGCAUUAAUAUAAAAUCUUCUUUGUGUGAAUAAAAUUAGCUUAACCCUUUCAGUGCGGGAACCGAAUUUUGAAGGCCACACAAAACGUGGCGUCUCAUCAGGAUCCAAACUGUUUGCUAUUCUGAUAAUAUUCUUUGAAAAAAAUCGAAGAAAAUGCUAAUUUUAGAAAUUCAGCAGACGACAUUUUAGCAGACGACACAUUUCCCAGCAUGCAAAGGGUUAAAUAUGAAGACCGUCAUUGCAUUCCAUUUUAGAGAUCUCGAGUUGUUUUUCUCAAG